ACGCACGCUGGCGGCGUGCUUAACCCAUGCAAGUCGAACGGUGAAGCGCCUUCCUUUUUGGUGGGUGUGGAUGAGUGGCGAACGGGUGAGUAACACGUGAGUAACCUGCCCCCUUCUUCUGGAUAACCGCAUGAAAGUGUGGCUAAUACGGGAUAUUCUGGGUCUGUCGCAUGAUGGGUCUGGGAAAGAUAUUGUUUCGGUGGGGGAUGGGCUCGCGGCCUAUCAGCUUGUUGGUGGGGUGAUGGCCUACCAAGGCGGUGACGGGUAGCCGGCCUGAGAGGGUGGACGGUCACACUGGGACUGAGACACGGCCCAGACUCCUACGGGAGGCAGCAGUGGGGAAUAUUGCACAAUGGGCGCAAGCCUGAUGCAGCGACGCCGCGUGAGGGAUGGAGGCCUUCGGGUUGUGAACCUCUUUCGCCAGUGAAGCAGGCCUGCCUCGUUUGUGGGUGGGUUGACGGUAGCUGGAGAAGAAGCGCCGGCUAACUACGUG
rnacentral:rRNA from 1 species